rnacentral:rRNA from 1 species
GCUAAGUGGAAAAGGAGGUGUGAUUGCGCGGACAACCAGGAGGUUGGCUUAGAAGCAGCCAUUCCUUAAAAGAGUGCGUAACAGCUCACUGGUCGAGUAGUGAUGCGCCGAUAAUGUAAGGGGGCUAAGCGUGGCGCCGAAGCCGCGGAUUGAUUGAUUUGAUGAAAAUUGGAUUAAUUGAUGGUAGGGGAGCAUUCUGGAGGCUGACGAAGGUUUUUUGCGAGAAAGACUGGAGGCAACAGAAGAGAGUAUGCAGGCAUGAGUAACGAAAAAGCGGGUGAGAGUCCCGCUCGCCGAAAGCCUAAGGUUUCCUGGGUAAAGUAAAUCUGCUCAGGGUUAGUCGGCCCCUAAGGCGAGGCUGAAAAGCGUAGUCGAUGGGAAACUGGUCAACAUUCCAGUACUUCUUAUAAUUUCGAUGGGAUGACGCAUGAGGAGAGUCGUUGCCGGAGAACGGUAGUUCCGGUUCAAGCGUUGAGUCGUCGACCCUUGGCAGGCAAAUCCGCCAAGGCAGGCGAGACGCGAGGAGGAGUCGCCCCACGGGGCGGCGAAGAGCGAUGAUUCAGGGUGCCGAGAAACAGUCUCUAAGGUUAGGUUAUAAGGAACCGUACCGGAAACCGACACAGGCAGGCAGGAAGAGAAUUCCGAGGCGUACGAGAGAACUUGCGUUAAGGAACUCGGCAAAAUGCAUAUGUAACUUAGGGAUAAGUAUGGCCUACAUGCAAGCGACGAGAGUUGUUUGCGAUGAGGUUGCAGAGAAACGGCCUGAUCGACUGUUUAACAAAAACACAGGUCGCUGCGAAUCUGUAAAGAGAGGUAUAGCGACUGACACCUGCCCGGUGCCGGAAGGUUAAGAGGGGUUGUUAUUUCUUAGGAAAGAAGCGAUGAAUUGAAGCCCCGGUAAACGGCAGCUGUAACUAUAACGGUUCUAAGGUAGCGAAAUUCCUUGUCGGGUAAGUUCCGACCCGCACGAAUGGUGUAACGAAUUGGGCGCUGUCUUGACGCAAGGCUCGGUGAAAUUGGAAUAUCGGUGAAGAUACCGAUUACCCGUGGUUAGACGGAAAGACCCCGUGAACCUUUACUGCAGCCUGAUAUUGAGAAUUGAUUGUUCAUGUGUAGGAUAGGUGGGAGGCUUGGAUCUCCGGUCGUCAGGCCGGGGGGAGUCGUUGGUGAAAUACCACCCUUGAGCCGUUAAUUUUCUAACAUUUUUCGUGAAUCCGGAGAAUGGAAAGUGUCAGGCGGGCGGUUUGACUGGGGCGGUCGCCUCCCAAAGAGUAACGGAGGCGCGCGAAGGUCGCCUUGUCAUGUUUGGAAAGCAUGAUGUAAGUGUAAAGGCGUAAGGCGGCUUAACUGAGAGACUUACAAGUCAAUCAGAUACGAAAGUAGGUCUUAGUGAUCUGGCGGUGGAGAGUGGAAUCGCCGUCACUUAACGGAUAAAAGGUACUCCGGGGAUAACAGGCUUAUCUCCCCCAAGAGUUCACAUCGACGGGGAGGUUUGGCACCUCGAUGUCGGCUCAUCGCAUCCUGGGGCUGAAGCGGGUCCCAAG